AGCGAACGCUGGCGGCGUGCCUAACACAUGCAAGUCGAACGGGAAAAGGGAAACCUGAGUAAAGUGGCGUACGGGUGAGUAACGCGUAGGUAAUCUACCCCAGAAUCUGGAAUAACCUGCCGAAAGGCUGGCUAAUACUGGAUAGAGCGAGGGAACUCGUAAGAGAGUUUUUCGGGAAAGGGAGCCCGCAAGGGCCUUCGUUCUGGGAUGAGCCUGCGUCUCAUUAGCUAGUUGGUAAGGUAACGGCUUAACAAGGCGAUGAUGAGUAGCUGGUCUGAGAGGAUGGUCAGCCACACUGGAACUGGAGCACGGUCCAGACUCCUACGGGAGGCAGCAGUGGGGAAUCUUGCGCAAUGGACGAAAGUCUGACGCAGCCACGCCGCGUGAGUGAAGAAGGCCUUCGGGUUGUAAAGCUCUGUCGGAUGGGACGAACAUCUUCAUAGUGAAUAGCUAUGAGGACUGACGGUACCAUCAAAGGAAGCACCGGCUAACUCCGUG
rnacentral:rRNA from 1 species